CAUGCUCUUUGUCGAUGAGAAUAGUUCAAGGAAAGGUUUGCUUGUGUCCUACCCGCAUCCAGCUUUUACCAACGUAAUGCGGUGAACAAGCAUUGAAGACGUUCACCCAAACGGUGGAAUCAAGAAAUUCAAAUCUUUUGUCUACUCCAACUUUAUAUUUUCCUUUAGUCUAAAUCAAAACUGGUUCUCCAAUCCAAUCGUUCUCAAAGUCAUGUCGCUCAUACAACAAGGUGAGAUGGCUUUGUCUGCAAAUCAGU